CUUUUCCCAGUAUAGACGAUCUGUGUGUUUGGCUGUAGUGUGUGUGCGCUGAAGAAAAGCUCCUCUCCCACUGGCUGCUAUGACCUAGCUACCGCCGGACGACACUUUCUGUUUUCAGGACUGACCGCCGCGUCUGAUAAUAGUUUUGUCGCGUUUUGGGCAAUCACACAUUCAACAUACAGUCGUUUAUGGUCGCAUUCCCGCGACUUUUUCAUCGUAGCUGCUGGCCUCUGAGGCUAGCUGGCUAGCGGAGCAGUGACAGAGUGGAGCCAGCUAGUCGGACAGGGGUACAGUAACGUUAGCAAACAAGCUAAUUAGCCCGAAAGACUCAGCCUGGAUUAACGUUAGUUAACGUUACUGUCUUUAAUCAAAGAGAGCGCAAGUCUGCGGUUUUACUCACUGCGGCAAAAUGAAGAUAACUGUGGAUUUCGAGGAAUGUUUGAAGGACUCCCCUCGGUUCAGUUGCUUUGCGUUUUCCAGAGAUUGGAGAAAGCGCCUGCCUCCUUCCUCCCUAAGCCCCCCCACUCCCUUUGCUGCUGCUGCAACAUCCUCUCUCACAAAAAAACGAGGAACAGAUGUUAGAAAGCUGUCUGCAGAAGAAUGGAACAGCAUUGUAAAACAACUAAUUGGAGCAUUUUAAAGCAUCAGAAUAAAGGGAAACGUCAGUCAGCUGUGUUGCUUUAGGUUGGUUGGUCUAACACUCUAGUGAUGUAAGCCCCUGUGUAUUACCAAGGCUGCUGGACUUUGAGGAUCUCAGUCAUUAUUAUACCUUUUUAUGAAUUGUUUAUGUACUCAGAUUGGUCCAGUAUUUACCAGCAUUUCUUUAAAACAUUGCAGUUAGUAUGUAUUCCAGUUCUAGUUGCAUCUAGUCUGUGAUGAACAAUUAAUUCAUUUUACCAAAAUCACAAUAUGGCCAGGCGCAAUAUCCAAAUUGCAGGAGCUGCAACUUUUUGAUAAAGGUAAAAUGUAUCACUGCAUACCACUAUAAAUAAAGCAUUGUGGUGCUACAGA